UUUAUGGAGAGUUUGAUCCUGGCUCAGGAUGAACGCUGGCGGCGUGCCUAAUACAUGCAAGUCGAGCGAACGGACGAGAAGCUUGCUUCUCUGAUGUUAGCGGCGGACGGGUGAGUAACACGUGGAUAACCUACCUAUAAGACUGGGAUAACUUCGGGAAACCGGAGCUAAUACCGGAUAAUAUUUUGAACCGCAUGGUUCAAAAGUGAAAGACGGUCUUGCUGUCACUUAUAGAUGGAUCCGCGCUGCAUUAGCUAGUUGGUAAGGUAACGGCUUACCAAGGCAACGAUGCAUAGCCGACCUGAGAGGGUGAUCGGCCACACUGGAACUGAGACACGGUCCAGACUCCUACGGGAGGCAGCAGUAGGGAAUCUUCCGCAAUGGGCGAAAGCCUGACGGAGCAACGCCGCGUGAGUGAUGAAGGUCUUCGG
rnacentral:rRNA from 1 species